rnacentral:rRNA from 1 species
UCCUGGCUCAGGAUGAACGCUGGCGGCGUGCCUAAUACAUGCAAGUCGAGCGAACAGACGAGGAGCUUGCUCCUCUGACGUUAGCGGCGGACGGGUGAGUAACACGUGGAUAACCUACCUAUAAGACUGGGAUAACUUCGGGAAACCGGAGCUAAUACCGGAUAAUAUAUUGAACCGCAUGGUUCAAUAGUGAAAGACGGUUUUGCUGUCACUUAUAGAUGGAUCCGCGCCGCAUUAGCUAGUUGGUAAGGUAACGGCUUACCAAGGCGACGAUGCGUAGCCGACCUGAGAGGGUGAUCGGCCACACUGGAACUGAGACACGGUCCAGACUCCUACGGGAGGCAGCAGUAGGGAAUCUUCCGCAAUGGGCGAAAGCCUGACGGAGCAACGCCGCGUGAGUGAUGAAGGUCUUCGGAUCGUAAAACUCUGUUAUUAGGGAAGAACAAAUGUGUAAGUAACUAUGUACGUCUUGACGGUACCUAAUCAGAAAGCCACGGCUAACUACGUG